rnacentral:rRNA from 1 species
GAACUAGUACCGUGAGGGAAAGGUGAAAAGAACCCUAAGUAAGGGAGUGAAAGAGAACCUGAAACCGUACGCCUACAAGCGGUCGGAGCACAUUUACUGUGUGACGGCGUGCCUUUUGCAUAAUGAGCCUACGAGUUACUGUUUCUAGCAAGGUUAAAUGUUUAAGACAUGGAUCCGUAGCGAAAGCGAGUCUGAAUAGGGCGCAUAGUUAGUAGUAGUAGACGCGAAACCGAGUGAUCUACCCAUGGGCAGGUUGAAGCUGUGGUAACACACAGUGGAGGACCGAACCAGUUGACGUUGAAAAGUCUUCGGAUGACCUGUGGGUAGGGGUGAAAGGCCAAUCAAACUCGGAAAUAGCUCGUACUCCCCGAAAUGCAUUUAGGUGCAGCGUUGAGCGAAAGUUUUAUAGAGGUAGAGCUACUGAUUGGAUGCGGGGGCUUCACCGCCUACCAAUUCCUGACAAACUCCGAAUGCUAUAAAAUGUUAAUCAGCAGUGAGGGCAUGGGUGCUAAGGUCCAUGUCCGAGAGGGAAAGAACCCAGACCAUCAGCUAAGGUCCCUAAAUAUAUGUUAAGUUGAAUAAACGAGGUGAAACUGCUUAGACAGCUAGGAUGUUGGCUUGGAAGCAGCCAUUCAUUUAAAGAGUGCGUAACAGCUCACUAGUCGAGCGGUUUUGCAUGGAUAAUAAUCGGGCAUAAACAUAUUACCGAAGCUAUGGAUUUGUAUUAUAUACAAGUGGUAGGGGAGCAUUGUAACCUGCGUAGAAGGUGUGCUGUAAGGCAUGCUGGAGUGGUUACAAAAGAAAAUGUAGGCAUAAGUAACGAUAAAGGGGGCGAGAAACCCCCUCACCGAAAGACUAAGGUUUCCUCAGCGAUGCUAAUC